UUCCCGAACUAGUGCUGCACCAUGCGGUCAAGUGCUGAGUUUAACUGACGCUAGUAUAUACAAGAACCUAUAAAAUUAGGGAUCUGUCCUGUUUGGUUGUACCUUGGCAUACACAAGAACUUAUUGAGUACCAUGCUACAAGAACCUAUUUAAUUGUACGGUUAUCCAAGAUUAUUUUUCUAUCCAAGAUGGACAAGCAUAAGAAUGAUAAAAUCGCGUAAUAAUGAAAGCAAUUAGAACGCAGGGUAGUGUUUAAUUUUUACCGGUUAAAACCUCUACGAUGGCCAUCCCGGACUUUGAGAAAGGGGUUCCCAAUCAGACAGGUGGCAGCUCCGCGGCGCUGGCCCUUAUCCCCAGCGCCUAGGACCUAUCGGCCACGGCGCCCGUGUCCUCCACUUCUCCAUGAAAGCUGCGUUCCCUUUCUAGAUCGGCUGCCUUUUUCCGGAGCACUACCUGCUCGCAGGAACAGGUGACCGCCCUCCGGUCCUUCAUGCCUUUGUAUUAUUUCCAACCCUGCUUUAUAUGUGUCAUCGUUCAAAAAUAUAGUAGAUAGUACAUUUCUCUUUUUUA